GAAUCCUGUUUAUCCUUUAAAAGAACCAGUUCUUCAAAAACUACAUACAAGUGCUAAAAAUAAAGCCUCUUUUGCAACCCAGAACUCAUUGCUCAGUAUGAGUUUUGAUACAUAUAAGAAGGAACAUA